GACAGAGGUGCCAAGCGUUAGGCGGAAUCACUGGGCUUAAAGCGUGUGUAGGCGGGUGCCUAAGUACCUUGUGAAAUCCCACGGCUCAACCGUGGAACUGCUGGGUAUACUGGGUGCCUUGGGUCAUCUAGGGGCUGCCGGAACAAAUGGUGGAGCGGUGAAAUGCUUAGAUAUGACAUAGAACACCAAUUGCGAAGGCAGCUUACUACAGGGAUAUUGACACUGAGGCACGAAAGCGUGGGGAUCAAACAGG
rnacentral:rRNA from 1 species